CCUUUUCCAGAAAUACUUUAUUACAUUGUCAUAAAAACAAUAAAUAAAUUAGAGAACAAAUUUUAAAAAUGUCAACAUGUUAUAUUGACAGUUGGAAAUGUUUUGACGAUACAGUCACUGUAAUACCCAUUCACCUCCCCCAAAUGUUGUUGUGGCACAUAAAAGCCUACAUAACAUACCAUGUGGAUAGAGAUAAUUAACGGUAGAAUAUGUCACACAGUGCUCGGCAGGAAUUGAAGCACAGACAGUACUAAUGGAAAUGCUCAAUGAAGACAUUUUGUACAGAACAUGAAAAAAGAAACUUUAUAUUGUUGUACACUGAAUUUAGUCCAUUAUAUGCCACUUCCCUCAAGGUAACAUAGGUUAAUAGAUAUCUAUAAAAUAUUUGCUAAAAAUAAUGUAGCUAAGAACAUAUUCAUUUUAUCAUAUGAGAUUAUUCCAUACAUAUCC